CAGUGGAGGGAAAGAUGCAGAGGACGAACCGACCUCUCAGGCGCCCCCACCGCGCCCGCAGUUGCCUGUGGGCGCACUAGGUAUCUCUCGAGUUCCGCGCAUUUCGGACGCUAUAAAUACGGAUGCCUUGGCAUUUGUAGGUCUUUCUGGAUACGCUCUCGCUGGGAAGAGGGUUCGGCUGCUCUCACUGGGAGUUCUAGAUGUCUGGCUUAGAGCUCUCGCUGAGAAUUCCACACGGCUGGCUUACAGGGGAGACAUCUUCACUUGCUUCCAUUCCUUUAUCUGGCAGGUGACACGGUGAAUCAACUGAAGAUGUGUCGAGAUAGAGCUCACUAGUACAGGCCCUGCCUUGCUCUCCUGCUGUCAGAAACAGAGCAGGACUCUAGCAGGUGCCUCCUGAGGGGGGAGGAUAACUGGGAACUUAGGUGUCUAUCAGGGGCUGGGGAGGUGCAUCACCCAAUUACUGCACAGGACCCUGUUCCUGCCUGCGGGGUGGUUUCAUUUCAACCAACUUCUAACUGUAUAAAUAAUAAAUAAACAGAUCUGUGUUUCUGUGAUUGCCAAGCCCAAAUAAAGAUUGAAUUUUU